rnacentral:ncRNA from 1 species
UAACCACUGACGAUAUUCGUGAAUGUUG